rnacentral:snoRNA from 1 species
CCCCUUUUUCUCAGCGGGGAGCAGGCAUCACGUAUGGAGGCAGAGAAAACGGACUCCGGCCCCUCGGUGUCAUGUCUCUGUGCCAGCGGCUUCCUGUCCACUGGUUCUAUUCCUCAAACGCCAAGACACCA